rnacentral:lncRNA from 1 species
AGAGAGUGUGUGCUGCUCCUGCUGCUCCUGCUGCUCCUGCUGCUCCUGCCCGGCCUCCUCUCUAGGUAACCCGGAACCCUGACUCCGCUGAGGAGGCCACGCUCACCUGUCUUGGGUCCCCUAAGUCCCAGGCCUUGUCUGCAUGUCAGCCCAGGGCUGGGGCUGCACCCCUGGGCUAGGUCUCCCAGGCCCAGCCUCUCUGACUGCAUUCCAGGCUUCUCGCCCUUCUAACUCUCCUGCGGCCUCCCUGCCUCGCGCCCAGCCUUUAGGAGGUAAUUAGGAUUAGAUAACGUCAUCACGGCAGAGUCCUAUUAUGGGACUGGUGGCUUUAUAACAAGAGGAAGAAAGACCUGAGAUAACAUGCACAUUUUUGCCCUCUCGCCAUGUGACGCCCUCUGCAAUGUUAUGACAUAGCAAGAAGGCCUUCACCAGAUGCCGACACCAUGCUGUUGGACUUCUCAGCUCCCAAAACCGUAAGCUAAAUAAACUUAUCCUUU